rnacentral:rRNA from 1 species
UACAGAGGUCUCGAGCGUUAGGCGGAAUCACUGGGCUUAAAGCGUGUGUAGGCGGAUCGUUAAGUGCCCUGUGAAAUCCCACGGCUUAACCGUGGAACUGCUUGGCAUACUGGCGGUCUUGAGCAACCUAGGGGCGAGCGGAACAAAUGGUGGAGCGGUGAAAUGCGUAGAUAUCAUUUGGAACGCCAAUGGUGAAAACAGCUCGCUGGGGGUUUGCUGACGCUGAGACACGAAAGCCAGGGGAGCAAACGGG